AAAAAAUGAUAACCGUAAUGACUAUGUAGAGAACAGGCUUUAACCUGACACCACAAUGGAGCCAAGAGAGCUGCAGUUCAAGAGUUCAAGAGCUAUUGAGCA